AACGAACGCUGGCGGCGUGCCUAACACAUGCAAGUCGUGCGAGAAAGUUCCUUCGGGAGCGAGUAAAGCGGCGCACGGGUGAGUAACACGUAGGUAACCUGCCCCCCAGUCUGGAACAACUAGAGGAAACUCUAGCUAAUGCCGGAUGAGACCACGAUCCCUUCGGGGGUUGCGGCCAAAGAUGGCCUCUACUUGUAAGCUAUCGCUGAGGGAUGGGCCUGCGGGCCAUUAGCUUGUUGGUGAGGUAACGGCUCACCAAGGCUGUGAUGGCUAGCUGGUCUGAGAGGAUGACCAGCCACACUGGGACUGAGACACGGCCCAGACUCCUACGGGAGCAGCAGUGGGGAAUAUUGCGCAAUGGGCGAAAGCCUGACGCAGCGACGCCGCGUGGGUGAUGAA
rnacentral:rRNA from 1 species